AGUGUAGCUCUUUUCUCAGGUUUAUAAGAAAACAGAUUUCAGUCCAGUAACAUCAUCCAUUAAACAGCAUCCUUUAAAAUUCUCAGGGACAAAGAAGUGCAUGCAGAAAACUUGGAAAAGCUGAACAGCAAGUUCCCUGCUGUGUUUAUGCUACUUGCAUCCCUAUCCUGACCCCCCUAUAUCCCCAAUUUCUGGUUUACUUCUGGAGCGGUUUCAGACAUGAGAAGAUGACAUCAGUGUUAUAUCUUCAUUUUAUUAGAUUACAUGGGAUGACUUAAUGUUGUACAACACAGACUGGGGCUGGGUCUGUGUUGUUUUUUUUUUUAUGGGCUGCCAGGGAGAAGAGGUUGAGAAGACAGCUGGAUAUGUAGUUUGGGUGGAUCCUGCUGCCAGCCUCAAUGAGAUUGUUGUUGCUGCCCCCUGUGGAGGUGAGAGGACUUUGAUGUUGGUGAGUGGGGAAACAUCAGAAAUGGUCACUGGACCCUCUCCCUCUGCCAGUUACUUCAACCCGAUCAUCUGCUUAGGCUGCCAUAGCAACACUGUUAAGUUCUCACAACAGGGUGCUACCUGAAAAGCACACUGCCUCCUCCAGGGAAUGGUGCUGGGUGAGCUGUGUGGAAGUGCCAGGGAAGUCAGCCUUAAGGCAGGAUGUUGUGAUGACCAUGAUGGGAUUGGAUUAAUAGGUGCUGAGAGGAGUGUGUUGAACUAAUACCAUCUAGUAUGGAAUUGUGGAAAGUUUGUCUGUUUGAAUUAACUUGGUAAUGUUUUUACACAAAGCGACAAGUUCAAGUGAUAGAUAAGGAUGUAAUAAAUGUAGGUCAAAUAUUUAACCUUUCAACACGCAUUUUUGUUCACAGAGUACAACAGAACAAAGGCAAAGAAUGAGCUUUGACCUAGCUAAAUGACUGAUGUUUAAUGUAACUGUAAAUAUGGAGUUGUCAGUGUUCAGCUGGACUUCCACAUAAGCUUAUGGGCUCUUCACUGAUCUUAUUGGUGACGUGAACCGAAGCAUUGCAUUACCCCUGUCAAGCUUUGAAGAGUCACAGGACCGGAGCUGAUGAGGCCUGAAGGGACCCUGUGGUUAGGCAGCCUGACUUCCUGGGCAAGGGAGCCAUCAGGACAUUUCUGAAUUAAUUCUAUCUGAGUUGCAGCUUAGAAAGAGCUUUCCAUGUGAAUUUAAAAAUCACUGAUGACAGGGAAAAGAAUGAUGUGGUGUGACAAAUAGCAGAAAGGGGCAGUGAUGUGGGUAGGUUGGCAAGCUAAUUCUGAAGCCAAAGUUAUAGAGACAGGAAAUAAGAGAACAGGUGAGGUACAGCUUAAUCUCGUGGGUGGCAAUCCUGCCUAUGGCAGGGGGUUGGAACUGUUGGGGUCUUUGAGAUCCCUUCUCACCCAAGCCAUUCUGUGAUUCUAUGGAAUGAGGUACCUCUGAAUGGAGGACCACAGGAUAGUGAGCUGAACAUGAACAAUAUGCCCAGAGAAGACUAAUGUGAUCCCUAGAUGUGUAUAGGUGCCCUUCUGUCUCCAAAAGGUAGAAAUCUGUUUCAAGUGCUGGUCAGAAGAUCACAUUAGGUAUCCCUGUAGCUGUGUUUAUUUCACAGGGUCCAUUGGACAGAAUGUGGGCUUCUGAGGAGCAGAUUUUGGACUGCUGUCAUGUCUGCUAGGGUAACCUGUCUGUAUCUGGGUGUUCUUUCCAUGCUAAUGAGAUUUUGGGUAGCCCACUUUGCAGUGCAGUCACCUACACACAGGUGCUUGUCACCGUGUUUAACCAGAGCUGGAC
ensembl:lncRNA